rnacentral:lncRNA from 1 species
AGUUCUUUGCCCACCUGGCGGGUGGGGUGGGCCUGUGGCUUAGGCUACUCUUGGCCCUGAUUCUGGUAAGGGGCCUAUUGGCCUCCUGGCUCUUGGUGCUGUCCCUUCGCACAGGCCCCUGGUUGAUUUGAAAGUCUUCUUUCUGCGAGGUAGGUCUGGCGGUUCGAUCCCGCAAGGUGCAUCUGUAGAGGAGAGGCUUGAAAAAAAGGAGGAGCAGGACAAUCAAUGGCCUGGAUUUCUGGAGGUGUGUGGGGCUGGAGGGGGUGGAUGGUGAUGAACAAGCAGCCAUUGAGUGGAGACUCAAAUUCGCGGUGGGGUGGCUAAGACCAGAACAGGUCAGGCAUCCAGGAGUACCUUCCAAAAUUCCCCUUUGCACUAGCUUUCUUAGCACUUCCCUUGCCUUCCUCCUUCACCUCCACUCAAAACUGGUGGCAGGAAAAAGAUGAGCUAGGAGGUGAGGGUGAGACAAGUCAUUAAUUACAAGUGCCACUGCACAACCUGUUUUCUAGAAUAUGCGGGCACCCUUCCCCCAAUUUAUGCUGCGCAAGGCUGUGCGAUGUGGUGCACCUAGUGGUGAAUCCUCAGAAUUGGAAAAGGGAGCAAUGUGAGAAGUGUGACGUCAAGAGAAGAUGUUGUUGUCUGGAACCCUGAAAUGGAAGGCUUAAGUAAUAGAGAAUAUUCUAUCAAGAUAACUUUAAAUGUUGAAAGACAAAUAUGUGGACUCCUAUCCUUGGUGUUUGUGGGUCCAUCCAGAACUCAGUUGCUACCAUGGUUUCCUGACUGUCAUGCCUUUUCAUUUGUUUGUCCAUAGGCCUGCUUUAAAGCUGCUCGCUUCUGCAAGGAAGGGAAGGAGGAAGAGACUGGCUCAGAUCUCUGGAGGACUGCCUGCUCUCUGCUGUAGAGCUUAAUAUCACUGAAACAAAGCAAGGAAGGGGAAAUUGCACCAUAUCCUUGCAGAGCUCCUUCAACCUAGAAUUCCUGUUGGGAGUACCACAUUUAUGUUUGGGGAACUUCACACUGCGGCCUCGCUGGAUACUGCCUAAGUCCCAUGUGCACCUGAAACAGAUAUUUAGCCAAUUAACACCUGUGGAUUCUUUCAAUCUCAGGAAAAAGGCAGAGUAAGUGUUGUGUGCAUGUGUGUGUUCCUAAGUAUAAGGAUGAUUAUCUUUGUUCUGAUCACCCCUUGGGUCUGACUUGUAGGGGCCAAGACCAUCAAUUUUUUUUUUUACUUAUAUGGCCCUUUUGUUUCUGCUCCUUUUCUGGAUAAAUAUUAUGGGCUAUCUCACUUGACUUAAAAUGUUGCUGCCUGAGGAUAAAAUUAAAGCAGAUUUGUCAUCAAC